rnacentral:rRNA from 1 species
GGGAUAUUGCGCAAUGGGCGAAAGCCUGACGCAGCGACGCCGCGUGGGUGAAGAAGGGUUUCGGCUCGUAAAGCCCUUUUCUGCGUGACGCUAAUGACGGUAGCGCAGGAAAAAGUGUCGGCUAACUACGUGCCAGCAGCCGCGGUAAAACGUAGGACGCAAACGUUAUCCGGAAUUACUGGGCGUAAAGGGCGCGCAGGCGGUUGUUUAAGUUAGGCAUGAAAGCUCCCUGGCUAAACCGGGAGAGGAUGUCUGAUACUGGACGACUAGAGUACAUUAGAGGGGUGUAGAAUUCCGCGUGUAGUGGUGAAAUGCGUAGAGAUGCGGAGGAAUACCAGAGGCGAAGGCGGCACCCUGGGACGAGACUGACGCUGAGGCGCGAAAGCAUGGGUAGCGAAC